AUGAACGCUAGCGGCAAGGCCUAAUUACAUGCAAGUCGGAACGGUAACAUGGUCAGCAAUGACUGAUGACGAGUGGCGCACGGGUGCGUAACGCGUAUGCAACCUACCUCUUACAGGGGGAUAGCCCGGAGAAAUCCGGAUUAAAACACCGGCAUAAUAUAUCGGGAAGAGCAUCUUUUUGAUACUUAACAAUUUUAUAGGUAAGAGAUGGGCCAUAGCGUCCCAAUUAGUUAGUUUGGUGACGGUAACGGCUCACCAAGACGAUGAUUGGUAGGGGUUUCUGAGAGGAAGGUCCCCCACCACACUGGUACUGAGAUACGGACCAGGACUCCUACGGGAGGCAGCCGUAGGGAAAUAUUGGGCAAUGGACGAGAGUCUGACCACCAGCCAUGCCGCGUGCAGGAAGAAGGCCUUCUGGGUUGUAAACUGCUUUUGAUCGGGAACAAAAGAGCCCUUGCGAGGGAAGUUUGAGUGUACCGAUAGAAUAAGCACCAGGCUAACUCCGUGCCAGCAGCGCCGCGGUAAUACGGAGGGUGCAAAGCGUUGUUCCGGAAUUUAUUGGGGUUUAAAGGGUGCGUAGGCGGCUUUUUAAGUCAGUGGUGAAAGACAACAGCUCAAACUGUUGCAGUGCCAUUGAUACUGAAGGGCUUGAUUACAGAUGAGGGUAGGCGGAAUUUAUGGUGUAGCGGGGUGAAAUGCAUAGAUACCAUAAAGAACACCUAUUGCGAAGGGCAGGCUUACUAAGCUGUAACUGACGCUGAGAGCCACGAAAAGUUGUUGGGGAUCAAACAGGAUUAGAUUACCCUGGUAGUCCACACUGUAACGAUGAUCACUCGAUGUGUGCGAUAGACAGUACGCGUCCCAAGCGAAAGCCGUUAGUUGAUCCACCUGGGGGAGUACGGCUCGCAAGAGUGAAACUCAAAGGAAUUGACCGGGGGUCCGCACAAGCGGUGGAGCAUUGUGGUUUAAUUCGAUGAUACGCGAGGAACCUUACCCUGGGCUAGAAUGUGAAGGAAUGUAUCAGAAAUGGGUGCAGUCAGCAAUGACCUGAAACAAGGUGCUUGCAUGGCAUGUCCGUCAGCUCAGUGCCGGAGGUGUUGGGUUAAGAUUCCCCGCAACGAGCGCAACCCCUAUUUCUUAGUUGCCAGCAUGUAAUGAUGGGGACUCUAAGGAAGACUGCCUGCGUAAGCAGAGAGGACAGGAGGGGAUGACGUCACAGUCAUCAUGGCCCUUACGCCCAGGGCUACAACACACGUGCUACAAUGGCCCAUAAACAAAGUGUUUGCAACGCUAUUGGAUAGCAAGCCAAUCACAAAAAGUGGGUCUCAGUAUCGGAAUUGAAGUCUGCAACUCGACUUUCAUGAAGCUGGAAUCGCUAGUAAUCGUGUAUCAGCAAAUGACACGGUGAAUACUUGUCCCCGGACCUUGUACACACCCAGCCCGCCAAGCCAUGGGAGGUUGGGGGGACCUGAAGAUGGUAACCGCAAGGAGCCAUUUAGGGGUAAAACCAGCGGACUGGGGCU
rnacentral:rRNA from 1 species